rnacentral:rRNA from 1 species
CCUACGGGUGGCAGCAGUAGGGAAUAUUGCUCAAUGGGGGAAACCCUGAAGCAGCAACGCCGCGUGGAGGAUGAAGGUUUUAGGAUUGUAAAAUCCUUUUGUGAGAGAAGAUAAUGACGGUAUCUCACGAAUAAGCACCGGCUAAAGCCGUGCCAGCAGCCGCGGUAAUACGGAGGGUGCAAGCGUUACUCGGAAGCACUGGGCGUAAAGGGUGCGCAGGCGGGCUUGUAAGUCAGAUGUGAAGUCCUGUGGCUUAACUACAGAACUGCAUUUGAAACUGUGAGUCUAGAGUGUGGGAGAGGUAGGUGGAAUGCUUGGUGUAGGGGUAAAAUGCGUAGAUAUCAAGAAGAAUACUCAUUGCGAAGGCGGCCUACUGGAACAUUACUGACGCUCAUGCACGAAAGCGUGGGGAGCAAACAGGAUUAGAUACCCGGGUAGUC